UACGUAGGGCGCAAGCGUUGUCCGGAAUUAUUGGGCGUAAAGAGCUCGUAGGCGGCUUGUCACGUCGGGUGUGAAAGCCCCGGGGCUUAACCCCGGGUCUGCAUUCGAUACGGGCAGGCGUAGAGUGUGGUAGGGGAGACUGGAAUUCCUGGUGUAGCGGUGAAAUGCGCAGAUAUCAGGAGGAACACCGGUGGCGAAGGCGGGUCUCUGGGCCGAUACUGACGCUGAGGAGCGAAAGCGUGGGGAGCGAACAGG
rnacentral:rRNA from 1 species